GUGGGGAAUCUUCCGCAAUGGACGAAAGUCUGACGGAGCAACGCCGCGUGAGUGAUGAAGGUCUUCGGAUUGUAAAGCUCUGUUAAUCGGGACGAAAGAGCCUAGUGUGAAUAAUGCUAGGAAGUGACGGUACCGGAAUAGAAAGCCACGGCUAACUACGUGCCAGCAGCCGCGGUAAUACGUAGGUGGCAAGCGUUGUCCGGAAUUAUUGGGCGUAAAGCGCGCGCAGGCGGAUCUGCCAGUCUGUCUUAAAAGUUCGGGGCUUAACCCCGUGAUGGGAUGGAAACUACAGAUCUAGAGUAUCGGAGAGGAAAGUGGAAUUCCUAGUGUAGCGGUGAAAUGCGUAGAUAUUAGGAAGAACACCAGUGGCGAAGGCGACUUUCUGGACGAAAACUGACGCUGAGGCGUGAAAGCCAGGGGAGCGAACGGGAUUAGAAACCCUUGUAGUCC
rnacentral:rRNA from 1 species